UUCUUUCAAGAAUGCUCUAUAGAGAAGAUGGAUGUGAUCCGUGAUCCCACUCACGAGCAGCUAUAGCCAGGACCACUAUGUCUCUCGAAUGCAAGUAGGCCAUUGUUAUCCCAUAUAGAAUACUUAGAGAUAAAAGGCUUGAGAAAGAUUGAGGAUGCAUGGAUGUUCAUAUAUUUCGCUAUCAACUCUUAUUUCGUGAUCCACCUCAGAUCAGAAAUUCAAAUGUACAAUCCUGGUCCUGGAUGGAGAUCACACCGGAAAUAUCACAACUCAAAGUGGCAGUUCAUAGUUGAUUACAGCAGCAACAGCCUAAACCAUACUAGUAAGUACUUGGGAACAUUGAUGUGAAAGUGGGAAUCAUCUUGGAUAAUCUAGAGCCUCCACUCCAGUACACGUCCCUGGCAGCAUCAGCAUUGUUGUGGUCGAUGACGCCGGCGCUGGCGCACUGCGAAGUCCAUGGUCCUGCGGGAGACGAGAGACGGGAUGCCAAGUUGCCGACGCAGAGCGGGAGACAGCGGAGGCCGACUCGACGCAGUCGGUAGUUUGGGCACACAGCGCAACGGCGGACUGCGCGGCGGCCAUGCCAAGUCCAAACUCACAGCCCAUCUGUUAGACCUAGACAACAAAAUUCAUGGAAUAUUGGAAAAGGGGAAGCAACUAAAUGAUAAAAGAGGUCCAAAUUCAACAUGCGUUUCACUUACAGAUUUACAUCUCCCUAAAGUUCUCAACAGCAGAAGUUAAAACUUAAAAGUUCUUGAGAAACAGCUACACAGUUCACACAAGAUUGGAAAAGGAAAGUGAAACUAAAUGACCAGAUGUAACACUACACCAUGUUGUGAAAUUCAUCGAUGCAGUGGCAACAUGCAAUGAUUGGCCCAAUCACAAAUCCAACAACAUGAGCAAAAAAGAACUUGAAUGAAUCCAGCAGAGCCAUGCGGAGCCUAGUACCUGAACGGCCGAGCCGCACGAGGGGGGAGGGGGGGAGGGGGACUCCCUGGAAGAUGCAUCUCUCCUGGACUGGCGAUGGUGUAUAGGAGACCACGGAUCUGGUCACCAUCGGGUAAGGCUACGUCGAACGACGGUGGAGGAACGAGAGGAAAAGGGUUGAGGGCGGGCUAGAAGCCUGCACCAAGUGGAACUAUGGGAGAGAGAAGAAGAUCAAUGGAGCAGGGAGAGAAGGUGGAUGGAUCAGAGAGAGAAGAAAGGGAUGAGUGGUGUGCUAGAUGGGGGAGAAAGGCAUUGGAGACAAGGGCCGUGGAGACAAAGGAGGCUCGGGCUUGGCGGAACAUCUGACCACGCACCUUUCGUCAGGCUCGGUACCAAAGGUGCAUGGGCAGAGGACUAGCAAGCUGCCACUUUGGCAACCUAUGGCUGUCCCUACUGGGCUAUGCACAGCGGUGCGUGGUCCAGUGUCAUCUAUAUAAGGAAAUAAGUGGCAAUCACCUAAUAUACACAAAAUGAAAAAGAG
rnacentral:lncRNA from 1 species